CAGGUUUACCUGUGUGACUGCGUACCUUUUGUAUAAUGGGUCAGCGACUUAUAUUCUGUAGCAAGGUUAACCGUAUAGGGGAGCCGGAGGGAAACCGAGUCUUAAUUGGGCGUUAAGUUGCAGGGUAUAGACCCGAAACCCGGUGAUCUAGCCAUGGGCAGGUUGAAGGUUGGGUAACACUAACUGGAGGACCGAACCGACUAAUGUUGAAAAAUUAGCGGAUGACCUGUGGCUGGGGGUGAAAGGCCAAUCAAACCGGGAGAUAGCUGGUUCUCCCCGAAAGCUAUUUAGGUAGCGCCUCGUGAAUUCAUCUCCGGGGGUAGAGCACUGUUUCGGCUAGGGGGCCAUCCCGGCUUACCAACCCGAUGCAAACUGCGAAUACCGGAGAAUGUUAUCACGGGAGACACACGGCGGGUGCUAACGUCCGUCGUGAAGAGGGAAACAACCCAGACCGCCAGCUAAGGUCCCAAAGUCAUGGUUAAGUGGGAAACGAUGUGGGAAGGCCCAGACAGCCAGGAUGUUGGCUUAGAAGCAGCCAUCAUUUAAAGAAAGCGUAAUAGCUCACUGGUCGAGUCGGCCUGCGCGGAAGAUGUAACGGGGCUAAACCAUGCACCGAAGCUGCGGCAGCGAACGUAUCACCCAAGACAACUUUACGGAGUUGACGAUUGACGGAGCGAAGCGACGUCAAAGCGUUCAUUAAAGUCGAGUUGGCUUAGGGAUACGUUCGUUGGGUAGGGGAGCGUUCUGUAAGCCUGUGAAGGUGUGUCGUGAGGCAUGCUGGAGGUAUCAGAAGUGCGAAUGCUGACAUAAGUAACGAUAAAGCGGGUGAAAAGCCCGCUCGCCGGAAGACCAAGGGUUCCUGUCCAACGUUAAUCGGGGCAGGGUGAGUCGACCCCUAAGGCGAGGCCGAAAGGCGUAGUCGAUGGGAAACGGGUUAAUAUUCCCGUACUUGGUGUUACUGCGAAGGGGGGACGGAGAAGGCUAUGUUGGCCGGGCGACGGUUGUCCCGGUUUAAGCGUGUAGGUGUGUGUUCCAGGUAAAUCCGGUUCACUUUAACACUGAGGCGUGACGACGAGGCACUACGGUGCUGAAGCAACAAAUGCCCUGCUUCCAGGAAAAGCCUCUAAGCAUCAGGUAACAUCAAAUCGUACCCCAAACCGACACAGGUGGUCAGGUAGAGAAUACCAAGGCGCUUGAGAGAACUCGGGUGAAGGAACUAGGCAAAAUGGUGCCGUAACUUCGGGAGAAGGCACGCUGACACGUAGGUGAAGUGAUUUACUCAUGGAGCUGAAGUCAGUCGAAGAUACCAGCUGGCUGCAACUGUUUAUUAAAAACACAGCACUGUGCAAACACGAAAGUGGACGUAUACGGUGUGACGCCUGCCCGGUGCCGGAAGGUUAAUUGAUGGGGUCAGCGCAAGCGAAGCUCCUGAUCGAAGCCCCGGUAAACGGCGGCCGUAACUAUAACGGUCCUAAGGUAGCGAAAUUCCUUGUCGGGUAAGUUCCGACCUGCACGAAUGGCGUAAUGAUGGCCAGGCUGUCUCCACCCGAGACUCAGUGAAAUUGAACUCGCUGUGAAGAUGCAGUGUACCCGCGGCAAGACGGAAAGACCCCGUGAACCUUUACUAUAGCUUGACACUGAACAUUGAGCCUUGAUGUGUAGGAUAGGUGGGAGGCUUUGAAGUGUGGACGCCAGUCUGCAUGGAGCCGACCUUGAAAUACCACCCUUUAAUGUUUGAUGUUCUAACGUGGACCCGUAAUCCGGGUUGCGGACAGUGUCUGGUGGGUAGUUUGACUGGGGCGGUCUCCUCCUAAAGAGUAACGGAGGAGCACGAAGGUUGGCUAAUCCUGGUCGGACAUCAGGAGGUUAGUGCAAUGGCAUAAGCCAGCUUGACUGCGAGCGUGACGGCGCGAGCAGGUGCGAAAGCAGGUCAUAGUGAUCCGGUGGUUCUGAAUGGAAGGGCCAUCGCUCAACGGAUAAAAGGUACUCCGGGGAUAACAGGCUGAUACCGCCCAAGAGUUCAUAUCGACGGCGGUGUUUGGCACCUCGAUGUCGGCUCAUCACAUCCUGGGGCUGAAGUAGGUCCCAAGGGUAUGGCUGUUCGCCAUUUAAAGUGGUACGCGAGCUGGGUUUAGAACGUCGUGAGACAGUUCGGUCCCUAUCUGCCGUGGGCGCUGGAGAACUGAGGGGGGCUGCUCCUAGUACGAGAGGACCGGAGUGGACGCAUCACUGGUGUUCGGGUUGUCAUGCCAAUGGCACUGCCCGGUAGCUAAAUGCGGAAGAGAUAAGUGCUGAAAGCAUCUAAGCACGAAACUUGCCCCGA
rnacentral:rRNA from 1 species